GUUGAACGCUGGCGGCAUGCCUUACACAUGCAAGUCGAACGACCGCACGGGUGCUUGCACCUUCUGACGAUUGCGGCGGAGGGGUGUGUUACAUCGGGACAUCUCAUGUAGAAGACUGUAGCAAGUCGGGGGCAGCAUUGAUACCGCAGACGAUCUACUGAUGAAGGCUGGUGAAAUAGUGGCAUAGCGCUUUGGGGUUAGCCAAAGACUGAUUAGCUAGUUGGUGGGGUAAAGGCCUACCAAGGCUACGAUAAGUAGCCGGUCUGAGAGGAUGACCAGCCACACUGGGACUGAGACACGGCCCAGACUCCUACGGGAGGCAGCAGUGGGGAAUCUUGCACAAUGGGCGAAAGCUUGAUCCAGCAAUGCCGCGUGUGUGAAGAAGGUCUUCGGGUUGUAAAGCUCUUUUGUUCGGAAAGAACUCAUUUGCAAUAAUCCGUUCGCGUCAUGACGGUACCGGAAGAAUAAGCCCCGGCUAACUACGUG
rnacentral:rRNA from 1 species